CUCUGUCAGUCAUGCCUGUGGCAGGAAGCAGCAUGGCUCUUCCUUCUUCUUCUGGUCCUCCUGCCCUCACCCCGGCCAGCAUCCCCUGUACCCCAGGGCACAGACAUCGCAGGGUGGACUGACUGACAGGUUAGGGUGGGGGUUUUGUGUCUGUGAGAUGGCAGGAGGUGAUUGUUAUACACAAAUGCGAGAAGACUUUAAUGUCUGUUUCUUGCCACUUGAUUUCUAGCCAAUUCCUGACAUUUCUGCACUUUGAAGUUAGGACUCCCACAAAGCAGCCGCUUGGCUUGAGUUGUUGAACAAAGUUGCUUGUCUAAAAAACCAGCAGAUGGAGUCUGUUGGAGGACACGAGUGUCUGGCAGGAGCCUAGGAAUCCAGCUCAAUUUCAUAAGCGAGUGAUGACGGAAAACCUUUACCAUGUGAGAUGCAGUCUGGAAACCUCUGCUAAAGAAGUUGGUUGAAGCUGAAGCAUCUGUGUUUGCAGAAAGCAAUUUGUUGGGAACCCAGUUCACUGUAUCGAAAGGCAGACAUCGCUCAGCUGCACGGGGUGCUGCAUGGCUUCCUGAGCUAACACCUGCAAAGCACCCCAACCCUUGGGGAAGUGCAACCAGUAAGCACUUACACUCCAAGCAGUCAAUACAGGCACCUUCCCAGGAGAUGUGGUGGUGGAGGUGUGAGUAAGAGGGCUCAGUGACACCAAGCACGCUACGUGGGGGUGUUAGAGAAGAGCCCCCUUCAUUCGCCCUCCUGCAAAUCCCUACCUCUGAUGGAACUGGGCUUUUCCAGACAUUUCAGGUAAUGCAUGUAGCAGCAUGGCAGCUCACUCUAGCAUGCAGUGGUAUUCUUAAAGUAUUGUCCACUUGCUUCUGAUUUAAUUUCAGAUGAUCUUAGUCCAGGCAAAAAACCACAGUCUGUGCCAAUCAAGAAGUAUAGAUCACGCAGUAAGUACAGUUCAAAAGCUGCAUUACCCUUAUCUAUUAGUAAUGAUCAAUUAGCAUGAAGGUCAGUGGGCAUCUUGGAAAUGAGUCAGAUAAGAAGGGCAGAAGGAGGAUUUGAAUGGAAAGGAAAUUCUUGAUUCAUAUUCGGUGUUUAAAGUCAUAACUCUGUAACAGUGGGGGCGGAGGGUAGCGUUAAGUAGUCCUGCUGUCACACUGACUCAACCAGAGUGUAAAUCACGGUGGAGAGAGUGCUGUGUUUUUUUCCUGUUGCUAAAGCAGUAUAUUGUACCACAGAAGGGAUUGCAAGUUCCAAGAAGUACUUGUGUCCUCCAGCCCACGCUGAAAAUCUCUGGCCAGAUUGACCCCCCUGGCAUGGCACAGCGCCACAGGGCUGGUGGCUGCUGUCAGUGCCACCAAAAGCUUAAAAUUCUGGUCCUUGGCUUGCACCAAUGUGAGUGGGAUCAGUGGUGAAGGGCAGUGUAGGACAGAGGGAGGGAGCCUCCAUGGUCUCCUGAGCAUCAUCUGGGCAGGAGGUACCGUUCAACACCGUGUUAAUGUUUUAGGGGGAAGAAGAGAAGAUGACUUGUCACGAACUAAUUGACUUGCAAAUUUUGCACAGAUGAUCCAAGUGUGCCACAUCAAACAGUAAUUUGCCCUUCCCAGUGUGUACCUGCACUCUGAGAUAAGUAAGAAGGUAUUAAAGAACAUUGCUGAGAGUUAUAUGUGCACACCCGGGGUAGUGUGGGACUCUCAACAUGAGCAUGUGCUGGAGUCUGGCUCCUGUUGCGAGCUGUUGCAGUUCAGGCAGAGAUGACAGGGCACAUAGUUGUGGUAGGCAGCAUCACAAUGCAUUGCCAAAAUGCUGUCUUUACCCUGUCAGCUACUUUAAGUAAGUGUGCUCAGAAUUAUUUUAUCUUUACCUGAGUCUCCUUCUGUGAAAGCAGCUGGCAAGCUGGGUGAGAGGUGGGUGUUUUGGUGUAACACCCCAUCUGAAGGAGAGGAGCUGGACGGCCAUGCCUGGCGGGACAGCGGGGUGCUUCUCCUUGUUUCCCAUGGUGGCUGCAGGGAGAGCAGUGCUGUGUGUGCCGGCCAUGGCUGGGGCCGUGCUGUGGGCAGCCCUGGUGCAGUGGCCACUGCCACCUUGGGAGGGGACCUGGCCCCAGGCACGGGAG